CCUCCCCCCCUCCUCUAAGUGCCGUUUCGGUUUAACCUAGUGUGUGACUGAGUCUGUGUGAGGGAGCGAGUGAGUGUGUGAGGUGUUGAGGUGAGGCGGAGGCAAGAAGAGGGGCUCCCUCAGGAGCGAGGGACAAAGGGGGCGUGAGGCACUUAGGCCGCGGGACCCCAGCGACAGGAAGCCGCUCCGAGCCGGGCUACCGGGUAGCGGAAGGGCCCGCGCAGUCUUCACAGGGCCCCAGAGCCGGAGUCGGCCCCACUGCCCAGGGCCGUCGGCUUCCUACUUCCUCGACCUCCCCGGCGCCGGGGCCUGAGGAUUGGCUCGGCGGGGGGAGGAGGGGAAACAGACUUGAGCAGCUACCCGUUGUCUCGCAACUCUACUGCUGAGGAACUCUCAUUUCUUUCCUGGCUCCUUCACCCCCUACCUCAUGUAGGAGGGUGCUGAGGAGUCGGGAGGGAGGAGGAGCCUGGGCUACUGUCCCUUCCCUCCCCACCCCCUUCUAGGGGCUCUUUGGUAGGCGUGGGGUUGGGGGGGAGGGUGGGGGUUACUUUUGGGAGUGCUGGGGAACUUUUUCCCCUUUUUGAGGGUAGGGGAAAGGGAAUGCCCAAUCCAGAGAGACAUGGGGGCAAGAAGGACGGGAGUGGAGGAGCUUCUGGAACUUUGCAGCCGUCAUCGGGAGGUGGCAGCUCCAACAGCAGAGAGCGUCACCGCUUGGUGUCGAAGCACAAGCGGCAUAAAUCCAAGCACUCCAAAGACAUGGGGUUGGUGACCCCCGAAGCAGCACCUUUGGGUACAAUUAUCAAACCUCUGGUGGAGUAUGAUGACAUCAGCUCUGAUUCAGAUACCUUCUCUGACGACAUGGCCUUCAAACUAGACAGGAGGGAGAAUGAUGAACGUCGUGGGACUGAUCGGAGUGACCGUCUGCACAAACAUCGUCACCACCAGCACAGACGUUCCCGGGACUUACUAAAAACUAAACAAACAGAAAAAGAGAAAAACCAGGAAGUCUCCAGCAAAUCGGGAUCGAUGAAGGACCGGAUAUCAGGAAGUUCAAAGCGUUCAAAUGAGGAGAAUGAGGACUAUGGGAAGGCACAGAUAUCCAAAAGCAGCAGCAACAAGGAAUCCAGGUCAUCCAAACUUCAUAAGGAGAAGACACGGAAAGAACGUGAGUUGAAGUCUGGGCACAAAGACCGGAGUAAAAGUCAUCGGAAGAGGGAAACACCCAAAAGCUACAAAACCGUAGACAGCCCCAAACGGAGAUCCAGGAGUCCCCAUAGAAAAUGGUCUGACAGCCCCAAGCAAGAUGAUAGCCCCUCGGGAGCUUCCUAUGGCCAAGAUUAUGACCUUAGUCCCCCAAGAUCUCACACCUCUAGCAAUUAUGACUCCUACAAGAAGAGUCCUGGAAGUACCUCAAGAAGACAGUCAAUUAGCCCUCCUUACAAGGAGCCUUCCGCCUACCAGUCAAGCACCCGGUCACCCAGUCCCUACAGUAGACGACAAAGGUCUGUGAGUCCCUAUAGUCGGAGACGUUCUUCCAGCUAUGAAAGGAGUGGCUCUUACAGUGGGAGAUCGCCUAGUCCCUAUGGUCGAAGACGGUCUAGCAGCCCUUUCAUGAGCAAACGAUCUCUGAGUCGGAGUCCACUCCCCAGGAAAUCCAUGAAGUCUAGAAGUAGAAGUCCCGCAUAUUCAAGACACUCAUCUUCUCAUAGUAAAAAGAAGAGAUCCGGGUCACGCAGUCGACAUUCCAGCAUCUCACCUGUCAGGCUUCCAUUGAACUCCAGCUUGGGAGCUGAACUCAGUAGGAAAAAGAAGGAAAGAGCAGCUGCUGCUGCAGCAGCAAAAAUGGAUGGAAAGGAAUCCAAGGGUUCACCUAUAUUUUUGCCUAGAAAAGAGAACAGUUUAGUAGAGGCUAAAGAUUCAGGCUUGGAGUCUAAAAAGUUAACCAGAGGUGUAAAAUUGGAAAAAUCUGCCCCAGAUACUGAACUGGUGAAUGUACCACAUCUAAAUACAGAAGUCAAAAAUUCUUUAGAUACAGGGAAAGUAAAGUUGGAUGAGAACUCUGAGAAGCAUCCUAUUAAAGAUUUGAAAGCACAGGGAUCAAGAGACUCUAAACCCAUAGUAUUGAAAGAGGAGAUUGUUACUCCAAAAGAGACAGAGACAUCAGAAAAGGAGACCCCUCCACCUGUCCCCACAGUUACUUCUCCUGCACCUCCUUUACCAACAACUACCCCUCCACCUCAGACACCCCCUUUGCCACCUUUGCCUCCACUACCAGCUAUUCCACAGCAACCACCUCUGCCUCCUCCCCAACCAGCAUUUAGUCAGGUUCUUACUUCUAGUACUUCAACUUUGCCCCCUUCUACUCACCCAAGGACAUCUACUUUGUCCUCUCAGGCAAAUUCUCAGCCCCUUGCACAGGUUUCUGUGAAGACUCAAGUAUCUGUAACAGCUGCUAUUCCACACCUAAAAACUUCAACGUUGCCUCCUCUGCCCCUCCCACCCUUAUUACCAGGAGAUGAUGACAUGGAUAGUCCAAAAGAAACUCUACCUUCAAAACCUGUAAAGAAAGAGAAGGAACAAAGGCCACGUCACUUACUCACAGACCUCCCCCUCCCUCCAGAACUUCCUGGUGGGGAUCCAUCUCCUCCAGACUCUCCAGAACCAAAGGCAGUUACACCACCUCAGCAACCAUAUAAAAAGAGACCAAAAAUUUGUUGUCCUCGUUAUGGAGAAAGAAGACAAACAGAAAGUGACUGGGGGAAACGCUGUGUAGACAAGUUUGACAUUAUCGGGAUUAUUGGAGAGGGAACCUAUGGCCAAGUAUAUAAAGCCAAGGACAAAGACACAGGAGAGCUAGUGGCUCUGAAGAAGGUGAGACUGGACAAUGAGAAGGAGGGCUUUCCAAUCACAGCCAUUCGUGAGAUCAAAAUCCUUCGUCAGCUAAUCCACCGAAGUGUUGUUAACAUGAAGGAAAUUGUUACAGAUAAACAAGAUGCACUGGAUUUCAAGAAGGACAAAGGUGCCUUUUACCUUGUAUUUGAAUAUAUGGACCAUGACUUAAUGGGACUGCUAGAAUCUGGUUUGGUGCACUUUUCUGAGGACCAUAUCAAGUCGUUCAUGAAACAGCUAAUGGAAGGAUUGGAUUACUGUCACAAAAAGAAUUUCCUGCAUCGGGAUAUUAAGUGUUCUAACAUUUUGCUGAACAACAGUGGGCAAAUCAAACUAGCAGAUUUUGGACUUGCUCGGCUCUAUAACUCUGAAGAGAGUCGCCCUUACACAAACAAAGUCAUCACUCUGUGGUACCGACCUCCAGAACUUCUGCUUGGAGAGGAGCGUUACACACCAGCCAUUGACGUUUGGAGCUGUGGAUGCAUCCUCGGGGAACUGUUCACAAAGAAGCCUAUAUUCCAAGCCAAUCUGGAACUAGCUCAACUAGAACUGAUCAGUCGACUCUGUGGUAGCCCUUGUCCAGCUGUGUGGCCUGAUGUUAUCAAGCUGCCCUACUUCAAUACCAUGAAACCGAAGAAGCAAUAUAGAAGGCGUCUACGAGAAGAAUUCUCUUUCAUUCCCUCAGCAGCACUUGAUUUACUGGACCACAUGCUGACACUAGAUCCUAGCAAACGUUGCACAGCUGAACAGACUUUACAGAGUGACUUCCUUAAAGAUGUUGAGCUCAGCAAAAUGGAUCCUCCAGACCUCCCCCACUGGCAGGAUUGCCAUGAAUUAUGGAGUAAGAAACGGCGACGACAGCGACAGAGUGGUGUUGUGAUAGAAGAGCCACCUCCAUCCAAAUCCUCUCGGAAAGAAACUACCUCAGGGACAAGUGUUGAGCCUGUGAAGAACAGCAGCCCAGCACCACCUCAGCCUGCUCCUGUCAAGGCGGAGCCUGGGACUGGGGAUGCAAUAGGCCUCGGUGACAUCACACAGCAGUUGAAUCAAAGUGAAUUGGCAGUGUUACUGAAUCUGCUGCAGAGCCAGACCGACCUGAGCAUCCCUCAAAUGGCACAGCUGCUUAACAUCCACUCCAACCCAGAGAUGCAGCAGCAGCUGGAGGCCCUGAACCAGUCCAUCAGUGCCCUAACUGAAGCCACUUCCCAGCAGCAGGACUCAGAGCCCAUGGCCCCAGAGGAGUCUUUGAAGGAGGCACCUCCUGCCCUAGUGGUCCAGCCUUCAGCAGAACAGACAACCUCUGAAGCUUCAAGCACACCAGCUGACAUGCAGAAUAUGCUGGCAGUUCUUUUGAGUCAGCUGAUGAAAACCCAGGAGCCAGCAGGCAGCCUGGAGGAAAACAACAGUGACAAGAACAGUGGGCCACAGGGGCCCCGAAGAACUCCCACAAUGCCACAGGAGGAGGCAGCAGCAUGUCCUCCUCACAUUCUUCCACCAGAGAAGAGGCCCCCUGAGCCCCCCGGACCUCCACCGCCGCCACCUCCACCCCCUCUGGUUGAAGGCGAUCUUUCCAGCGCCCCCCAGGAGUUGAACCCAGCCGUGACAGCCGCCUUGCUGCAACUUUUAUCCCAGCCUGAAGCAGAGCCUCCUGGCCACCUGCCACAUGAGCACCAGGCCUUGAGACCAAUGGAAUACUCCACCCGACCCCAUCCCAACAGGACUUACGGAAACACUGAUGGGCCUGAAACAGGGUUCAGUGCCACUGACACUGAUGAACGCAACUCUGGUCCAGCUUUGACAGAAUCCUUGACCCAGACCCUGGUGAAGAACAGGACCUUCUCAGGCUCUGUGAGCCACCUUGGGGAGUCCAGCAGUUACCAGGGCACAGGGUGGCAGCAGCAGAAGAAAGGAUAGCCUUUGAGGAAUUUGGUGAAGUCCAUCAGUCACCUGGCAUCUGGAGCCCUGAAAAGUUCAGUCUUUCAUUGACUUUAAAGCCAGAGUUGAUGGAACCCUUUCUCACCUGUCCAGACAUUGGGCAAGACACCAGAAGUAGAGGCCCACAAGCCUGCUUCCCUCUAUCCUCAUUGCCCAGAACCAGGCAGGUCAUGGGCUUUCAGUGCCCACCCCCACCCUUCUUGCUGCCAGGCCUUCUCUCUCAGCAGCUCCCCUCUCACCCCUGUAAGCCAGACAGCACAAGCAUCAGCCAUAGUAAGUGCCAACUCUGGGUCAGGUGCUCCCUUCCUGAUUGACACAUAUCUUGAGUUGGAAUUAGGAUGCAGUGGAUGAAAGGAUAAAGAAGCAGGAAAUAUCCCUGGAAGUGGUCAAACAAUGUGGAAAUGGAAACCCAGAGAGGAAAAAUCAGUUGAGUCCUGUCCUGGAAUUGCUUUGUGUUCCUGGCUUUGGAGACUUCCUGGGAACCCAAGGAAAGGAUGGUAGGUUGGGAAGAGAUUUGGAUGUCUGAACCUCCCACCUGACACCUCGAAGGUUGUUAUACAUAUACCCUCUCUAGCUUCCAAAACCACCACGGAGGAAGGGAAGAAAGGCAUCUCAGAGGUGGCAGUGAUAUGAUACCUAACACCACCUAGGAAAUGAGGCCAAGGAGGAGAAGAAACAGUGACCAGAGAGGGAGCCAGGAGAUGCCUGCUCUUGAAACAGCCUCUUUAUCCCAUCCUCUCCAGAGCCCCCUCUCACAUGCUGACAAGGCUGUGUGCCCAAGUGUGCCAGCUCUCCUGGCUAGCAAUCCUGCUCUGCCGUUCAGGCAGCCGGCUCUCUGCUCUGGCACAGAGCACAUGCUGGGGUCUCUCACACUCUCUUUGCUCACUCAUCUCAUGUGUCUGUGUUGCAGAUUCCUAGGGAUGAAAGAGGAAGCUAUGGCCCUGUGAGUAGGAAGAUGGUGGGUUUGGGUGCUUUGGGUGUAUAUUUGCCUCACUAGAGAUCAAAGAGGGAGAAGGCUGCUGGCAGCUCAGCUGAGCUCAAGGUUCUGGUGACUCAUAGCAAUGGGGGCAACUCAUGAAAACAACAGAGAGGAAGGGGGUCCAGGAUUGUUAGAGCUCUCUUUUGCCCCAAUUUUCCCCCACUCUGAACUGUGUGGAUGAGUCUCUCAUCUGGAUUGUGGGGCAAAGAGAGGCUCCAGCUAUGAAAGAAUAGAGGGAAAUGGGAGAGAAGAGAUUAGGAGAAGUUGAACAUUCCCAGGAAGAGGCUUCCCACUGAGGAAAGGAUAGCAGAGGCCAGUAGUAUCCUAUUGUAUCCAUUGGCUGCCAGAGGGAACUGAGUAUUCACAUGUGCAGGUAGACACAGCUACUCCUCCCUGGAAGGAUUUUCACUUGGUCUCAGUACUCUCUACCCUGCAAACAGACACCAUAGAUCUUCAAAGGUACUGAUUCUCUCUUCCCGUACAAGCCAGAUGGGCAGUGUGCAUCUUCUCCAUCCUUUCUGAAUCUGGGAUGAUAGGAUAUUGUGUUUGAGAUCACAUCAGCAGAAAAGGGCCAGAAGGUGGACCAAGAGAACCAUUCAUGCCUCUGACCGCAGUCCCAGUGUCUGACACCCACAGUCCUCCUUGUUUCAGCAAAAGGAAACAGGGAAACAGGGAUCUUUGAUACUAGUGUAUCCAGAUAAUAGUACUCUCCCUCUAACCUCAGUGAAGGAUGGGCUAAGAGGAGGAGAGUUCUCUGACAGAGCCCUUCAUUUGCCUAUUUUGUUGCUGGCAGCUCUGGUGUCCAGGUUGAGGGGGGGCGGGAACUGGGCAGGGGGUGCACUCUGCUGGGCUGCUUCUGGAGAUCCAGCUGGGGUCUGGAGAAAGUGAUAGACCAGCCACUUUUCACUCUUCACUUUUCCUGUAGGAGGAUAAGACCAUUUCUACUCCUGCAGCUCUCCCUGGCAGCAUUGGGAGCUUAGGGCCCCCUGCUGGAAUACCCAUAAUAAAGCUCAGUCCUGAACUGAACCAACACAUCACCUGGCUCUGGUAUAAAAAUGGUGCUGUGAGGGGGAGCCUGGGUACACCAGGUGGGUGUAGGCAGGUGUGGGGAGUUUAGACCCAGGAGAGAGAUUAGAAUCACUCCUCAAUAACACAUGCUCCUCCUCUUUCUCAAACUUUCUUCUUGGGCUCCCUUUUCUUCUACUUCACUCCAGCUAGCCCCAUUCCUGGCCACCUCAUCCCCUCCAGCUUGAGAAGGUAUGGUAAGUAGUUUUCUGUUCCUUAUACUUUUCUCUCUCCCACUCUCUUCCUCUACUCCCAACUCCCAACCAAAAGGUCCCCCAUUUGAACUCUUUGCACCAGUAAAUGCCAUCAGAAACUGAACCCAAAAUCCCCAGCCUCUGCCACCACCACCACCCCCCCCCCCCGCCCCCGACUCUGAGAAUGCCUCUGAUUCUGAGACUGACUCUUUAGUGUUCAUCCUCCCCACAAGGCCAAGACUAGUAUGUCCACUGACAGCAAGGGCCCUGACCUGAGGCAGAGGGCAGCUCUAAGGGUACAGUGGGGCCUGGCCCUAAAUGUGUGUAUGCCUGUGCAUUGGGCACACUGGUUUAUUAGUGUUAUUUCAGCAUUGUGAUGCAGAGAGAGUAAGUGUAACAGCUGCUCCUUGCUUGCAGUGUUUAUUGUUACCUAGAGACAACCUCCUGGCUUUUUCCCAGCUCCCCCUCCCCCCCAGCCCAACCCCCUCCCUGCCAACAGUCCUACUCUCCCCACACUGAUGGGAAAUUUAUAGCUUGCCCAUACUAUGCCUUUAACCCUCUCCUGUCCAUAGGGUAGGUGGGGUGAGGGAAGCCAAAGAGAGCAGUGGGCAUGCUUGGGCCCCAGCAAGGUAGAAUGGCGUGCAGAGGGAGGUAGGAGGGAGGACCCUCCCUUCCCCAGUCAGUGUGUCCAGACUCAGGCGCCAGUUGCCCUCCUGACUCUCAUGUUGAGAGAAAACAGCUUUGGAUCCAGCCUUGAAAUCCCAGCAUCCUCCUCACAAGAUGAUUCUCUUCCCUGGGCAUCUCUAAGCCCCCCAGUUGGGCUGCCUGGUCCUGAGGAAGCAUAGUGAGGUAGUAUUGAAACCGGAAUAAGUGUGGAGUGACAGAGCUCCCAGCCCCCUCCUUUCUGCAGAGAUGUCAUGUCAAGACUAACAAGAGACUCUGGCAUUAGGGAUGCUGGCCAGAUCUCCCCAACUAGGUGAAUGUUAAACAUGAAACUGGCUGCUGAGUCUAAUGGGAAAAACUGCCCACCUUAACUUUAGCCCAAGCCCAGCACUAGGGUCCCCAGAGACUCCCGGACCUUUCUCCAAGCUGGUCUCCUUGGUCUGGUUAGGCUACUCCUUUCUGCUCUUCUUCCUGGCCCAAUUUUCUCCUGCUUAUCUUUUGGUUUGAUACCUUGGACAAAUCCAAGAGACCAAGGAGACUGAAACAUCUUAGUCAUGGCCUCAACAGAACUGGGAAAAGAGAAGCUCCUCCAACCCCUCCCAGCCUAGGGCCUUGGAAGAGUACCUUGUCAUAUAUUCACUGUCCCCACUGAAAACAAGAGAAAUUGAAGAGGUCAGAUUUUAGCAAAAAAGAUAGAAGAUACACAUAUGGAAAAACUUAUUCAUGGGAUAUAAAACUUGAGAAUGGGCCAAUUUCAGAAACUUUCUUUCUGCCUGGGAUGGGUUUGUCUGUGCCUACCCAGGCAGAAUUGAAAAAAUAGCAUUACUUUUCUGUGGCUUCUCCAGGUGUGGGCCUCAGUGCAAUUUCUACGCUAGCUCUGAGAGUGCACCCCUUCAUGACCCUUCUAAAUGUAGUAUGUGAUGGUUAGAUCACAAGUUUGGGAGGCAGGAAGCCUUGGGUUCCAGCAUCAGCACUACCAUUAGCCAACUAUGCUACCUUAGUAAGUCACUUAACCUUUCUGACCCCUAGUUUCCUUAUCUGUAAAAUUCAGAUAAACAACCUCUUAAGGUUGUGGAGAGCAUUUAGUGAAGUAAU